rnacentral:rRNA from 1 species
AUUGAACGCUGGCGGCAGGCCUAACACAUGCAAGUCGAGCGAGCGGCGGACGGGUGAGUAAUGUCUGGGGAUCUGCCCGAUAGAGGGGGAUAACUACUGGAAACGGUGGCUAAUACCGCAUACUAUCGGAGGAACCCAUAUGGGAUUAGUUAGUAGGUGGGGGAAAGGCUCACCUAGGCGACGAUAUCUAGAUGGUCUGAGAGGAUGAUCAGCCACAAUGGGACUGAGACACGCCCCAGCCUCCACCGGGAGGCAGCAGUGGGGAAUAUGGCACAAGGGGCGCAAGCCUGAGGCAGCCAUGCCGCGUGUAUGAAGAAGGCCUUAGGGUUGUAAAGUACUUUCAGCGAGGAGGCGUUACCCGCAGAAGAAGCACCGGCUAACUCCGUGCCAGCAGCCGCGGUAAUUC